rnacentral:rRNA from 1 species
GAUCAUGGCUCAGGAUGAACGCUAGCUACAGGCUUAACACAUGCAAGUCGAGGGGCAGCGGGAUUGAAGCUUGCUUCAAUUGCCGGCGACCGGCGCACGGGUGAGUAACGCGUAUCCAACCUUCCGUACACUCAGGGAUAGCCUUUCGAAAGAAAGAUUAAUACCUGAUGGUAUCUUAAGCACACAUGUAAUUAAGAUUAAAGAUUUAUCGGUGUACGAUGGGGAUGCGUUCCAUUAGGUAGUAGGCGGGGUAACGGCCCACCUAGCCUGCGAUGGAUAGGGGUUCUGAGAGGAAGGUCCCCCACAUUGGAACUGAGACACGGUCCAAACUCCUACGGGAGGCAGCAGUGAGGAAUAUUGGUCAAUGGGCGAGAGCCUGAACCAGCCAAGUAGCGUGAAGGAUGAAGGUCCUACGGAUUGUAAACUUCUUUUAUACGGGAAUAAAGUUUCCUACGUGUAGGAUUUUGUAUGUACCGUAUGAAUAAGCAUCGGCUAACUCCGUG